UCGAUUUAAACACCGAAGAUAAUUAGUUCUUUUGAUUCUUUACAUUUCGCGUAAUGAGCUAAGACAGGGUCUUCCUCGCAGGAAAUCAGAGAGAGAUACACAUUACGAGUUGCGGUCAAACUGAAUCACCCCAAAACCAACAAAAGUUCCUCCUAUAAAUUCAAUCAGGGUUCAACUGCUGUUUCGUUUGAGGAAAGCCGAAGAAUGGCAGCCGUUUUAAGGUCGAUCUUUGGAUUCCCCCUGUGUUGCUUUCCUUGUUUAGGGAAAGCGAAGAAGAAUCCAGUGUCACAAGCCAGUGCAGGAAUCGGAGAUUUGUGUGGUUCAUCUGGAGCAGAGGAGAAAUGUCCCCUUUUCAAAAUUUUUGAUGGAUCUUCCUCAAGCGCAAGUGGUCAGCGGAAAACUCCAACUGGAAAGAAGAAGACGUCCAUUCGGGAUGUUUGAGAGGCAAUCGUGGCUCAAAUUACCUCUAUUUGUCAAUGUUGUCCGACCACGUAGGUCAAUGCUUGGACGUUAUCCAAAUAAAUCUAGUACGCUAACAUUUAUAAAUUGGAUAGUUAAUAGAAAAAAAAAAAGUAAAAUAGAGCUCUUGUAACGUUAAACAUGUCAAUAACAAGGAAUUCCAUUGUCAACAAUGAGUACAUCGUUUAUAUAGACCCGUAAACAUAUAACAAAAGGAAGACUUAAUUCGACGUUAAAUCCGACACAUAUUAACUGUACAACAUGGGUUUAAAAAUCUGUGGUCUGUGGGUAGACUUUUGUAAAUGUGUAGACAUUGCAAACAAGACAAAAUAAAA